rnacentral:rRNA from 1 species
UACGGAGGGUGCGAACGUUAAUCGGAAUCACUGGGCGUAAAGCGCGCGUAGGCGGUUUGUUAAGUGGGAUGUGAAAUCCCCGGGCUCAACCCGGGAACUGCGUCCGAUACUGGGAGGCUUGAAUCCGGGAGAGGGAUGUGGAAUUCCAGGUGUAGCGGUGAAAUGCGUAGAUAUCGGGAGGAACACCCGUAGCGAAGGCGGCACUCUGGGCCGGAACUGACGCUGAGGAGCGAAAGCGUGGGGAGCAAACAGG